UAAUCAACACUGAUUUCUUUUCAGAUGUUAAGGUUGCCAGGUGACGGUGGGGUGAAGGGCUCUAUGAGAUGUGUUUAAAUUACCACUAAAUUUUGAUUGUGGCACUUUUGGGUUCACGGUUGAGACCCAAGCAGUUGAAUGCAUACCCAGAUGCAUGCUUCAGUUUGUCUGUAUAUUAGUUUUAUCCUAUAGCUUGAGGUGCUUAUCCUGAUACUGAAUUGUGAUCAUAGUUGUCACGGCGCCAAGGCGAUGGAGAGCUGUCUAAGCGCUUAGGCGAGAAGGCGCCCGCCUUAAGGCGAAUAAGGGGAAAAAGAAAGGAAGCACUAGCAGAGGAGCAGAGAAGAAGAAGAAGAAACAUAGAAAGAACCGGCAGCCUCCAUAAGAAGCAUUCGAGAACAUCAGAGGGGAAAAAGAA